AUUGAACGCUGGCGGCAUGCCUUACACAUGCAAGUCGAACGGUAACGGGCCUUCUGGUGCCGACGCGUGGCGGACGGGUGAGUAAUACAUCCGAACGUGCCCGCUCGUGGGGGUGAAAGAAGCGCAGGCUAUUCUAAUACCUCCUACAUUCUACGGAUGACAGCAGGGGGCCGCAUGGACUUUCUCGGCGGGAGCGGCCGAUGGCGCAUUAGGUCGUUGUGUGGGUGAAAGCUUACCUAGCCGACGAUCUGUAGCUGGGCUGGGAGGAGGAUGAGCCACACUGGAAGGUGGACAGGGCCCAGACUCCUGAGGGAGGCAGCAGUGGGGAAUGUUGGACAAUGGGCGGAAGCCUGAUCCAGCCAUGCCGCGUGCAGGAUGAAGGCCUUCGGGUUGUAAACUGCUUUUGUACGGAACGAAAAGCCUUCUUUUAAUACGGGGGGGUCAUGACGGUACCGGAAGAAUAAGCACCGGCUAACUACGUG
rnacentral:rRNA from 1 species